CCCAGUCCCACUGUGGGUGCAUGGGCUGUGUCCACCAUGGCCUGGACUCCUCUCCUCCUCCUGAUCAUCUCUCACUGCACAGGUUCUCUCUCCCAGCCUGUGCUGACUCAGCCAGCCUUUCUCUCUGGAUCUCCUGGAGCUUCAGCCAGACUCACCCGCACACUUAGGAGUGACAUAAGUGUUGGUGGCAAAGCUAUAUACUGGUACCAGCAGAAGUCAGAGAGCGCUCCCAGGUAUCUCCUGUACUACCACACAGACUCAGAUAAGCACCAAGGUGCUGGAGUCCCCAGCCGCUUCUCUGGAUCCAAAGAUGCCUCUGCCAACGCAGGGCUCUUACUCAUCUCUGGGCUCCAGUCUGAAGAUGAGGCUGACUAUUACUGUGUGAUCUGGCACAGCAGUGCUUCUCACAGUGACACACACAGAUGGGGAAGUGGGACAAAAACCUCACCCUUUCUUGCUCUUGUUCUGUGAAAAUUUUCAAAUUUUAAAAUAACUCGCCUAGACACAAACUGUCUUUGUAAGUAC